rnacentral:sRNA from 1 species
AAACUAAAUUAGACUAAAUUACAUAUAAAUUUUAAAACUAAAUUAGACUAAGUUUUAAAACAGUACAAAAAAUUUAAUAGAUGUAAAACGCAAAAAAAAAAAAAGCGGUAUAUAAUUACGAUACUUAGGGCCUGUUUGUUUCUUCAUCCAGAUGGAUUAUUUAGAUGGAGAUGAAAAAUGAUGUUUGCUUUUGACAAUUUAAGAGACCAUUUGGAUGAAUCAGUUGGAUGAUCCAUCUCAAUGAUUUUUAAAAAUUAAGCAAAAUUAUGAAACUCAUUUGGAUAGACUUGAUAGGACCAUUUGAAUGGAGAUGGUUUACUCAAAAACAACAAAUGACAAAUAUACCCUCUUUUAAUAAUGUUAAUUUU